rnacentral:rRNA from 1 species
GACGAACGCUGGCGGCGUGCUUAACACAUGCAAGUCGAACGGAAAGGCCCUGCUUUUGUGGGGUGCUCGAGUGGCGAACGGGUGAGUAACACGUGAGUAACCUGCCCUUGACUUUGGGAUAACUUCAGGAAACUGGGGCUAAUACCGGAUAGGAGCUCCUGCUGCAUGGUGGGGGUUGGAAAGUUUCGGCGGUUGGGGAUGGACUCGCGGCUUAUCAGCUUGUUGGUGGGGUAGUGGCUUACCAAGGCUUUGACGGGUAGCCGGCCUGAGAGGGUGACCGGCCACAUUGGGACUGAGAUACGGCCCAGAAUCCUAAGGGGGGCAGCAGUGGGGAAUAUUGCACAAUGGGCGGAAGCCUGAUGCAGCAACGCCGCGUGCGGGAUGACGGCCUUCGGGUUGUAAACCGCUUUCGCCUGUGACGAAGCGUGAGUGACGGUAAUGGGUAAAGAAGCACCGGCUAACUACGUG